rnacentral:rRNA from 1 species
GUAGACUUGGGAGGGAGGAUUUUUUCCCGAGUCUAUGUUGCUUUUCACAAUCUUUGAAUUUGUUAGGAAUGUGGAUAAAUGAAAUAAUAUAAUACAACUUUCAGCAAUGGAUCUCUUGGCUCUCGCAUCGAUGAAGAACGCAGCGAAAUGCGAUAAGUAAUGUGAAUUGCAGAAUUCAGUGAAUCAUCGAAUCUUUGAACGCAUCUUGCGCUCCUUGGUAUUCCGAGGAGCAUGCCUGUUUGAGUGUCAUCAAGUUCUCAACUACAUCGAUCCUUUCGGUGUGGCCUUUGGAUGUGGGUUUGCAGGCUUUUUUCAAGUCGGCUCUCCUGAAAUGAAUUAGUGGUAUUCUGAGCACUAUGGGUGUGAUAAAUUUAUCUAUGCCCCUGGUAUGCUGCAUUCGCCGCUUCUAAAAAAGAAACAUGUUUGAUGAAUUUGACCUCAAAUCAGGUAGGACUACCCGCUGAACUUAAGCAUAUCAAUAAGCGGAGGAAAAGAAACUAACAAGGAUUCCCCUAGUAACUGCGAGUGAAGCGGGAAAAGCUCAAAUUUGAAAUCUGGUGGUUUUUGACCGUCCGAGUUGUAAUCUAGAGAAGUGUUACCUGUGCUGGACCGUGUAAAAGUCUUCUGGA